AGUGAACGCUGGCGGUAGGCCUAACACAUGCAAGUCGAACGGCAGCACAGUAAGAGCUUGCUCUUACGGGUGGCGAGUGGCGGACGGGUGAGGAAUACAUCGGAAUCUACUUUUUCGUGGGGGAUAACGUAGGGAAACUUACGCUAAUACCGCAUACGACCUACGGGUGAAAGCAGGGGAUCUUCGGACUUUGCGCGAUUGAAUGAGCCGAUGUCGGAUUAGCUGGUUGGCGGGGUAAAGGCCCACCAAGGCGACGAUCCGUAGCUGGUCUGAGAGGAUGAUCAGCCACACUGGAACUGAGACACGGUCCAGACUCCUACGGGAGGCAGCAGUGGGGAAUAUUGGACAAUGGGCGCAAGCCUGAUCCAGCCAUACCGCGUGGGUGAAGAAGGCCUUCGGGUUGUAAAGCCCUUUUGUUGGGAAAGAAAAGCAGCAGGUUAAUACCCCGCUGUUCUGACGGUACCCAAAGAAUAAGCACCGGCUAACUUCGUG
rnacentral:rRNA from 1 species